UACGUAGGAGGCAAGCGUUGUCCGGAAUUACUGGGCGUAAAGCGCGUGUAGGUGGUGGGACAAGUCUGCUGUGAAAGCGCCUGGCUUAACCGGGCGAGGUCGGCGGAAACUGUCCGACUAGAGGACGGUAGAGGGGGGUGGAAUUCCCGGUGUAGUGGUGAAAUGCGCAGAUAUCAGGAGGAACACCGGUGGCGAAGGCGGUUAACUGGCUCGACACUGACACUGAGACCCGAAAGUGCGGGGAUCAAACAGG
rnacentral:rRNA from 1 species